rnacentral:rRNA from 1 species
UACGGGGGGGGCAAGCGUUGUUCGGAAUUACUGGGCGUAAAGGGCUCGUAGGCGGCCAACUAAGUCAGACGUGAAAUCCCUCGGCUUAACCGGGGAACUGCGUCUGAUACUGGAUGGCUUGAGUUUGGGAGAGGGAUGCGGAAUUCCAGGUGUAGCGGUGAAAUGCGCAGAUAUCAGGAGGAACACCCGUGGCGAAGGCGGGUCUCUGGGCCGAUACUGACGCUGAGGAGCGAAAGCGUGGGGAGCGAACAGG